rnacentral:lncRNA from 1 species
UCAAGGAACGUACAGCAGCGUGUUUAGAGCGAAAGAGCUUGAGACUGGGAGGAUAGUUGCUUUGAAGAAGGUUCGGUUCGACAAUUUCGAGCCGGAGAGUGUGAGGUUUAUGGCAAGGGAGAUUAUGAUUCUUCGCAGGCUUGAUCACCCCAAUGUGAUGAAAUUAGACGGAUUGAUUACAUCCCAUCUCUCCUGCAGCAUAUACCUUGUAUUUGAGUACAUGGAACAUGACAUUACCGGGCUGCUUUCUUGCCCUGAUGUUAGGUUUACUGAGUCACAGGUUAGUUUAGAUUAAACCUCCAUUGAUCAUAAAAGAUUUCUGUUCAAUAUGUAUUAAAAAGUUUUGUCUCUUUCUGCAGAUAAAGUGCUACAUGAAACAAUUAUUGUCUGGAAUUGAGCAUUGCCACUCCAAAGGUGUAAUGCAUAGGGAUAUUAAAGGUUCGAAUCUUCUUGUGAAUAACCAAGGAGUACUGAAAGUUGCUGAUUUCGGGUUGGCGAACUUCUGCACUUCUGGAAAUAGGCAGCCUUUAACUAGCAGAGUUGUGACUUUGUGGUAUCGUCCUCCUGAACUUCUGCUCGGUUCGACCACUUACGGAGCUUCUGUGGAUCUUUGGAGUGUUGGCUGUGUUCUUGGCGAACCUCCCCUGUGUAUUUGCCGAACUUCUCCUUGGGAAACCCAUCCUACAAGGAAGGACAGAGGUAAAAAUCACCAUAUGAACACAUUUCGGAAUUGAGUCAUCAUUGUUGUGAAGAUCUAUGUCAUUGCCUGACAUUGCUUUUGUAUUCAGGUUGAACAGUUGCAUAAAAUUUUCAAGCUGUGUGGCUCCCCACCUGAUGAGUAUUGGAAGAAAUCCAAGCUUCCUCACUCGACAUUAUUCAAACCGCAGCAACAUUAUGAAAGUUGCCUUCUUCAGACUUUUAAGGAUUUACCUGAGAAUGCAGUCAGUCUCAUUGAUACUCUACUUUCCGUGGAGCCAUAUAAACGUGGAACUGCAGCCUUUGCUCUUUCAUCCGAGGUUGG